CAAGUGCCAAAAACCUGUAACAAACUGCUUACGCAUCGAAAUUGUAUUUUUUCUUUAAAAUCAUACAAACUUACUUAAAUAUAUAUGUGUGUUUCCUGUAUGUAAUUGAGAGAAUCCAAGAGCGCUUUGCGGUACGAGAAAGGAACAGAGAGACAGACAGAGAGAGAGAGAGAAAGAGAGCGCCAGCGAGAGAAACAUGUCACUUAAACGUAAUUGGUUUUUUAAUAGCCAUUGUAUCAGCCAGGGAAUAAUGUGCCAAUUGCCUUUUGCCAACUAAUGUCUUGUUAAACAUAAAUUGAAUACUCUUUUGUCAAAGAUAAGAAAAUGUUACGAUAAGAACCCCAACCAAACGCAAA